AGCAUUGAGAACAGAUUGUUUAUUAAAUUAGCGAUCGAUUUAUUUAAAUGAAAUGUAAUUGUUUUACAAAUGCAGCAUUCAUUUUUGAAUGUUAAAUUGUUAAAUCUUCCUCACUGUUCUGUAGUUGUAUAUUGCUUACUAUCUUUUUUGAGAAUGUUAUGGCUCAUUAUUCUUAUGUGGAAUUGGCAGAUAUGCACUUCAUUUAUGGGUGCAUCAGUAGAAAUAGAGCAGCAGGAUGUCUGUACAGGAGAACUUUUCCACAAUGCAGAUGUCACCAGAGUUAUUUUUGCAAACCUUGAACAUUUCAUCUAACAUUAUUAAUUAAAGUUGCAUUACUUUACAAUUUUGUUAAUUUAAGCCAAUA
rnacentral:lncRNA from 1 species